rnacentral:rRNA from 1 species
GACGAACGCUGGCGGCGUGCUUAACACAUGCAAGUCGAACGGAAAGGCCCUGCUUUUGUGGGGUGCUCGAGUGGCGAACGGGUGAGUAACACGUGAGUAACCUGCCCUUGACUUUGGGAUAACUUCAGUAAACUGGGGCUAAUACCGGAUAGGAGCUCCUGCUGCAUUGUUGGGGUUGGAAAGUUUCGGCGGUUGGGGAUGGACUCGCGGCUUAUCAGCUUGUUGGUGGGGUAGUGGCUUACCAAGGCUUUGACGGGUAGCCGGCCUGAGAGGGUGAGCGGCAACAUUGGGACUGAGAUACGGCACAGACUCCUACGGGAGGCAGCAGUGGGGAAUAGUGCACAAUGGGCGGAAGCCUGAUGCAGCAACGCCGCGUGCGGGAUGACGGCCUUCGGGUUGUAAACCGCUUUCGCCUGUGACGAAGCGUGAGUGACGGUAAUGGGUAAAGAAGCACCGGCUAACUACGUG